UACGUAGGUGACAAGCGUUGUCCGGAUUUACUGGGCGUAAAGAGCGCGCAGGCGGUCGUUCAAGUCGAGUGUGAAAAGCCCCCGGCUCAACUGGGGAGGGUCACUCGAUACUGAUCGACUCGAAGGCAGGAGAGGGAAGUGGAAUUCCUGGUGUAGCGGUGAAAUGCGCAGAUAUCAGGAGGAACACCAAUUGCGAAGGCAGCUCGCUGGGACGUUACUGACGCUGAGACGCGAAAGCGUGGGGAGCAAACAGG
rnacentral:rRNA from 1 species